rnacentral:rRNA from 1 species
AAAUGCGAUACGCAUUGUGAAUUGCAGAUUUCAGUGAACCAUUAGAUUUCCGAACGCAUAUGGCGCUGUAGGGACUUCCCUGCAGCACGUCUGUUUCAGUGUCUUU